rnacentral:rRNA from 1 species
CCUACGGGAGGCAGCAGUGGGGAAUAUUGGGCAAUGGGCGCAAGCCUGACCCAGCAACGCCGCGUGAAGGAAGAAGGCUUUCGGGUUGUAAACUUCUUUUCUCAGGGACGAAGCAAGUGACGGUACCUGAGGAAUAAGCCACGGCUAACUACGUGCCAGCAGCCGCGGUAAUACGUAGGUGGCAAGCGUUAUCCGGAUUUACUGGGUGUAAAGGGCGUGUAGGCGGGAAAGCAAGUCAGAUGUGAAAACCAUGGGCUCAACCUGUGGCCUGCAUUUGAAACUGUUUUUCUUGAGUACUGGGGAGGCAGACGGAAUGCCUAGUGGAGCGGUGAAAUGCGUAGAUAUUAGGAGGAACACCAGUGGCGAAGGCGGUCUGCUGGACAGCAACUGACGCUGAGGCGCGAAAGCGUGGGGAGCAAACAGGAUUAGAUACCCCUGUAGUC